rnacentral:rRNA from 1 species
UACGUAGGGGGGCUAGCGUUGUCCGGAAUCAUUGGGCGUAAAGCGCGCGUAGGCGGCCUGGUAAGUCCGCUGUGAAAGUCAAAGGCUCAACCUUUGAAUGUCAGCGGAUACUGCCGGGCUAGAGUCCGGAAGAGGCGAGUGGAACUCCUGGUGUAGCGGUGGAAUGCGCAGAUAUCAGGAAGAACACCAACGGCGAAGGCAGCUCGCUGGGACGGAACUGACGCUAAGGCGCGAAAGCGUGGGGAGCGAACAGG